AUUGGAUCCAUGAUGUUUUGAAAAAACUGCGUUAUCUAUCUGUAAUUUCCUCAAAAGGAUUGAAGAUAGUCAUACAAUUCUGAGAUUCAGU